rnacentral:rRNA from 1 species
AUGAGCGAGUGGUUCAUGCAUUUUUCAUCAAGUCGUACAUUUUCUUGGUUACGACAUAAGGAUAAAUGUACUGGUUGGUUGCUUCAAGACUUAAUAACAGACACUAUGACAAUGGCUCAAGAGAUAUCAGAUCUACCUUCUUGGAUGGGGGCGUUAUGGGUGGCGCACGCCUCGGCCCCCUUGAUGGCCGUGGUGGAUGGACAUGAACAUGAGGGGGGAUCAGGACGGAGAGCAGGGUGGUUGGCGGGGGACUCAUCCUUGGCAGUUCAUGGGAAAGUAUGGUGUGAAGUAGAGGGGGCGCCAUGGCGAAGGUGA